GUUAAGCGACUAAGCGUACACGGUGGAUGCCCUGGCAGUCAGAGGCGAUGAAGGACGUGCUAAUCUGCGAUAAGCGUCGGUAAGGUGAUAUGAACCGUUAUAACCGGCGAUUUCCGAAUGGGGAAACCCAGUGUGUUUCGACACACUAUCAUUAACUGAAUCCAUAGGUUAAUGAGGCGAACCGGGGGAACUGAAACAUCUAAGUACCCCGAGGAAAAGAAAUCAACCGAGAUUCCCCCAGUAGCGGCGAGCGAACGGGGAGGAGCCCAGAGCCUGAAUCAGUGUGUGUGUUAGUGGAAGCGUCUGGAAAGGCGCGCGAUACAGGGUGACAGCCCCGUACACAAAAAUGCACAUGCUGUGAGCUCGAUGAGUAGGGCGGGACACGUGGUAUCCUGUCUGAAUAUGGGGGGACCAUCCUCCAAGGCUAAAUACUCCUGACUGACCGAUAGUGAACCAGUACCGUGAGGGAAAGGCGAAAAGAACCCCGGCGAGGGGAGUGAAAAAGAACCUGAAACCGUGUACGUACAAGCAGUGGGAGCCUCUUUUAUGGGGUGACUGCGUACCUUUUGUAUAAUGGGUCAGCGACUUAUAUUCUGUAGCAAGGUUAACCGAAUAGGGGAGCCGAAGGGAAACCGAGUCUUAACUGGGCGUUAAGUUGCAGGGUAUAGACCCGAAACCCGGUGAUCUAGCCAUGGGCAGGUUGAAGGUUGGGUAACACUAACUGGAGGACCGAACCGACUAAUGUUGAAAAAUUAGCGGAUGACUUGUGGCUGGGGGUGAAAGGCCAAUCAAACCGGGAGAUAGCUGGUUCUCCCCGAAAGCUAUUUAGGUAGCGCCUCGUGAAUUCAUCUCCGGGGGUAGAGCACUGUUUCGGCAAGGGGGUCAUCCCGACUUACCAACCCGAUGCAAACUGCGAAUACCGGAGAAUGUUAUCACGGGAGACACACGGCGGGUGCUAACGUCCGUCGUGAAGAGGGAAACAACCCAGACCGCCAGCUAAGGUCCCAAAGUCAUGGUUAAGUGGGAAACGAUGUGGGAAGGCCCAGACAGCCAGGAUGUUGGCUUAGAAGCAGCCAUCAUUUAAAGAAAGCGUAAUAGCUCACUGGUCGAGUCGGCCUGCGCGGAAGAUGUAACGGGGCUAAACCAUGCACCGAAGCUGCGGCAGCGACGCUUAUGCGUUGUUGGGUAGGGGAGCGUUCUGUAAGCCUGUGAAGGUGUGCUGUGAGGCAUGCUGGAGGUAUCAGAAGUGCGAAUGCUGACAUAAGUAACGAUAAAGCGGGUGAAAAGCCCGCUCGCCGGAAGACCAAGGGUUCCUGUCCAACGUUAAUCGGGGCAGGGUGAGUCGACCCCUAAGGCGAGGCCGAAAGGCGUAGUCGAUGGGAAACAGGUUAAUAUUCCUGUACUUGGUGUUACUGCGAAGGGGGGACGGAGAAGGCUAUGUUGGCCGGGCGACGGUUGUCCCGGUUUAAGCGUGUAGGCUGGUUUUCCAGGCAAAUCCGGAAAAUCAAGGCUGAGGCGUGAUGACGAGGCACUACGGUGCUGAAGCAACAAAUGCCCUGCUUCCAGGAAAAGCCUCUAAGCAUCAGGUAACAUCAAAUCGUACCCCAAACCGACACAGGUGGUCAGGUAGAGAAUACCAAGGCGCUUGAGAGAACUCGGGUGAAGGAACUAGGCAAAAUGGUGCCGUAACUUCGGGAGAAGGCACGCUGAUAUGUAGGUGAAGCGACUUGCUCGUGGAGCUGAAAUCAGUCGAAGAUACCAGCUGGCUGCAACUGUUUAUUAAAAACACAGCACUGUGCAAACACGAAAGUGGACGUAUACGGUGUGACGCCUGCCCGGUGCCGGAAGGUUAAUUGAUGGGGUCAGCGCAAGCGAAGCUCUUGAUCGAAGCCCCGGUAAACGGCGGCCGUAACUAUAACGGUCCUAAGGUAGCGAAAUUCCUUGUCGGGUAAGUUCCGACCUGCACGAAUGGCGUAAUGAUGGCCAGGCUGUCUCCACCCGAGACUCAGUGAAAUUGAACUCGCUGUGAAGAUGCAGUGUACCCGCGGCAAGACGGAAAGACCCCGUGAACCUUUACUAUAGCUUGACACUGAACAUUGAGCCUUGAUGUGUAGGAUAGGUGGGAGGCUUAGAAGUGUGGACGCCAGUCUGCAUGGAGCCGACCUUGAAAUACCACCCUUUAAUGUUUGAUGUUCUAACGUUGACCCGUAAUCCGGGUUGCGGACAGUGUCUGGUGGGUAGUUUGACUGGGGCGGUCUCCUCCUAAAGAGUAACGGAGGAGCACGAAGGUUGGCUAAUCCUGGUCGGACAUCAGGAGGUUAGUGCAAUGGCAUAAGCCAGCUUGACUGCGAGCGUGACGGCGCGAGCAGGUGCGAAAGCAGGUCAUAGUGAUCCGGUGGUUCUGAAUGGAAGGGCCAUCGCUCAACGGAUAAAAGGUACUCCGGGGAUAACAGGCUGAUACCGCCCAAGAGUUCAUAUCGACGGCGGUGUUUGGCACCUCGAUGUCGGCUCAUCACAUCCUGGGGCUGAAGUAGGUCCCAAGGGUAUGGCUGUUCGCCAUUUAAAGUGGUACGCGAGCUGGGUUUAGAACGUCGUGAGACAGUUCGGUCCCUAUCUGCCGUGGGCGCUGGAGAACUGAGGGGGGCUGCUCCUAGUACGAGAGGACCGGAGUGGACGCAUCACUGGUGUUCGGGUUGUCAUGCCAAUGGCACUGCCCGGUAGCUAAAUGCGGAAGAGAUAAGUGCUGAAAGCAUCUAAGCACGAAACUUGCCCCGAGAUGAGUUCUCCCUGACUCCUUGAGAGUCCUGAAGGAACGUUG
rnacentral:rRNA from 1 species